rnacentral:rRNA from 1 species
UACGGGGGGGGCAAGCGUUGUUCGGAAUUACUGGGCGUAAAGGGCGCGUAGGCGGCCUGCUAAGUCGGAUGUGAAAUCCCUCGGCUCAACCGAGGAACUGCAUCCGAUACUGGCGGGCUUGAAUCCGGGAGAGGGAUGUGGAAUUCCAGGUGUAGCGGUGGAAUGCGUAGAGAUCCGGAAGAACACCGGUGGCGAAGGCGGCCCGCUGGGCAGUUGCUGACACUGAGGCGCGACAGCGUGGGAGCAACAGGAGUAGAAUCCCGGUGAAGCCCCAGGACCGAACGUCU